UACAGAGGGGGCAAGCGUUAUUCGGAAUUAUUGGGCGUAAAGGGCGCGUAGGCGGCUUGGCAAGUGGAUGGUGAAAUCCCUCGGCUUAACCGAGGAACUGCCGUCCAAACUGCUUCGCUUGAGACCGGGAGAGGUGAGUGGAAUUCCCAGUGUAGCGGUGAAAUGCGUAGAUAUUGGGAGGAACACCAGUGGCUAAGGCGGCUCACUGGACCGGUACUGACGCUGAUGCGCGAAAGCGUGGGGAGCAAACGGG
rnacentral:rRNA from 1 species